CCCUUAGAUGUUCUGGGCUGCACGCGCGCUACACUGAUACUUUCAGCGAGUCCACCACCUUGCCUGAGAGGGUGGGGUAACCUCUGGAAAGUGUAUCGUGAUGGGGAUCGAUUAUUGUAAUUAUUAAUCUUCAACGAGGAAUUCCUAGUAAGCAUGUGUCAUCAGCCCGUGCUGAUUACGUCCCUGCCCUUUGUACACACCGCCCGUCGCUCCUACCGAUUGAAUGGUCCGGUGAAGCCUCCGGAUUGGCGCGCACCUCGGUGCCGCCGAGAAGUUGGCUAAACCUUACCAUUUAGAGGAAGGUGAAGUCGUAACA
rnacentral:rRNA from 1 species